rnacentral:rRNA from 1 species
AUGGGCGGCGGCAGCGGACAGACCAAUGCACCUUGCGGCGAUAUCUACGUUAGGGAGGGUGUUGUUGCCGUCCACCACGAUAACAACCUGUGUUGUGUCGAUUUUAGAUUCUUUGGUGACGAAUUGGACUACAUCCCUCUGAAGGCCGCUUAUCCUGCUCAUGAGCGAGGCUACUUAAAAGCAAUCCUAGUAUACCAAAGAUCAUGCUUUUCUUUAUGUCAUAGAAGCGAUAUGCUCUAA